rnacentral:rRNA from 1 species
GCUUACAGCCAUACCACCCUGAGAAUGCUCAGUCUCCUCUGAAGCUAAGCAGCGUUGGGCCUGGUUAAUACUUGAUGGGAGACUGCCUGGGAAUAUCAGGUGCUGUAAACU